rnacentral:rRNA from 1 species
CUCGAGGCCAGAUCUUUCCGGUUGAUCCUGCCGGACCUGACUGCUAUCGGAUUGAUACUAAGCCAUGCGAGUCUUUGUAGCAAUACAUGGCAGACGGCUCAGUAACACGUAGUCAAUCUACCCUACGGACGGGGAUAACCUCGGGAAACUGAGAAUAAUACCCGAUAGAUCAUUAUGCCUGGAAUGGUUUAUGGUCGAAAUGAUUUAUCGCCGUAGGAUGGGACUGCGGUCUAUCAGCUUGUUGGUGAGGUAAUGGCCCACCAAGGCUAUAACAGAUACGGGCUCUGAGAGGAGAAGCCCGGAGAUGGGUACUGAGACACGGACCCAGGCCCUAUGGGGCGCAGCAGGCGAGAAAACUUUGCAAUGUGCGAAAGCACGACAAGGUUAAUCCGAGUGUUUUCUGCUAAAGAAAUCUUUUGUCAGUCCUAAAAACACUGAUGAAUAAGGGGUGGGCAAGUUCUGGUGUCAGCCGCCGCGGUAAAACCAGCACCUCAAGUGGUCAGGAGGAUUAUUGGGCCUAAAGCAUCCGUAGCGGGCCGUGUAAGUUUUCGGUUAAA